rnacentral:lncRNA from 1 species
GGCCUCACUCGAGCAGACCCCGCCCUCCCAGAGGCCGUUUGUCCAAGUCACGUGAUCGUCGAAUCUGUUGACCUGGCGCCACCGGAAAAAGAAAUUCCCGGGCCCUGGCUUCUUGGCCUGAUGGCACUGCUAGCCUUGAAGCCUCCAGCCUGCUGGAUGCCUCCAUCCCCGGCUAUGCUGUGGCUCUCCUCAUUCUAGGCCUCCUGCUCGUCACAUUCACCCUUGUCCUGGUGCUAAAGUGGAGGGCCUCCCAUGGGGUGUUCAGCCUGGGUGUGUAGAAGCACACAGUGUGGUACAGAGGACCCUCUCCAGACAGGUGACCCCUCAUGCUGCUGCUCCCUCUGCUGAAACCCAAACUGCAAACCUCUCCUCUCCCUGCCUUCACCUUGCCCCACGGCUUCCACAGACAGUGCCUCAACCCCGAGGAAUGAAUCCGAAGUUCCAACACCACUGACUUUCCCAGGAACUCAGAGCCAGAGAGGGCCAAGGACCAGCUCGAGGACACACAGCCAGGGCUUCUUCCCUCCGAAACCCCCAAGGACUGGACUUGCAGGGCUGGGACAGAGGUGGGGUGGGGGAAAGCAAUGCCUUGUCAACCCACGUGGGGAGCCCCACUCCCAUCCCCAAGGUGCAUAAAGUUGAGGAACACCCCUGCU